GGAAUAUUGGACAAUGGGCGAAAGCCUGAUCCAGCCAUGCCGCGUGUGUGAAGAAGGUCUUCGGAUUGUAAAGCACUUUAAGUUGGGAGGAAGGGUUGUAGAUUAAUACUCUGCAAUUUUGACGUUACCGACAGAAUAAGCACCGGCUAACUCUGUGCCAGCAGCCGCGGUAAUACAGAGGGUGCAAGCGUUAAUCGGAAUUACUGGGCGUAAAGCGCGCGUAGGUGGUUUGUUAAGUUGGAUGUGAAAGCCCCGGGCUCAACCUGGGAACUGCAUCCAAAACUGGCAAGCUAGAGUACGGUAGAGGGUGGUGGAAUUUCCUGUGUAGCGGUGAAAUGCGUAGAUAUAGGAAGGAACACCAGUGGCGAAGGCGACCACCUGGACUGAUACUGACACUGAGGUGCGAAAGCGUGGGGAGCAAACAGGAUUAGAUACCCGGG
rnacentral:rRNA from 1 species